rnacentral:lncRNA from 10 species
GGAGAAAGCUCCAAAAGCAAGCCCUGGGCCCUGAACAAAAUCUGGAGACAUUAUUAAACCUGGCAACCUCGGUGUUCUAUAAUAGGGACCAAGAGGAACAGGCCCAAAAGGAAAAGUGAGAUCAGAGAAAGGCCGCAGCCUUAGUCAUGGCCCUCAGACAAACAAACCUUGGUGGUUCAGAGAGGACAGAAAAUGGAGCAGGCCAAUCACCUGGUAGGGCUUGUUAUCAGUGUGGUUUACUAGGACUCUUUAAAAAAGAUUGUCCAAUGAGAAACAAGCUGCCCCCUCGUCCAUGUCCACUAUGCCGAGGCAAUCACUGGAAGGUGCACUACCCCAGAGCAUGAAGGUUCCCUGGGUCAGAAGCCCCCAGCCAGAUGAUCCAACAACAGGACUGAGGGUGCCCAGGGCAAGCGCCAGAUCAUGUCAUCGCCCUCACUGAGCCCCGGGUAUGUUUAACUAUUGAGGGCCAGGAAAUUGACUUCCUCCUGGACACUGGUGCAGCCUUCUCAGCGUUAAUCUCUUGUCCUGGACAACUGUCCUCGAGGUCCAUUACCAUCUGAGAAAUCCUGGGACAGCCUGUAACCAGGUAUUUCUCCCACCUUCUCAGUUGUAAUUGGGAGACUUUGCUCUUUUCACAUGCCUUUCUUGUUAUGCCUGAAAGUCCCACACCCUUAUUAGGGAGGGAUAUAUUAGCCAAGGCUGGAGCUACUAUCUACAUGAAUAUGGGGAACAAGUUACCCAUUUGUUGUCCCAUACUUGAGGAGGGAAUCAACCCUGAAGUCUGGGCAUUGGAAGGACAAUUUGGAAGGGCAAAAAAUGCCUGCCCAGUCAAAAUCAGGUUAAAAGAUCCCACCACUUUUCCUUAUCAAAAGCAAUAUCCCUUAAGGCCUGAAGCUCAUAAAGGAUUACAGAAUAUUGUUAAACGUUUGAAAGCUCAAGGCUUAGUAAGGAAAUGCAGCAGUCCCUGCAACACCCCAAUUCUAGUAGUACAAAAACC